UACGGAGGAUGCAAGCGUUAUCCGGAAUUAUUGGGCGUAAAGCGUCCGCAGGUGGCCAUACAAGUCUGCUGUCAAAGUGCAGAGCUUAACUCUGUAAAGGCGGUGGAAACUGUAGGUCUUGAGUAUGGUAGGGGUAGAGGGAAUUCCCGGUGUAGCGGUGAAAUGCGUAGAUAUCGGGAAGAACACCAGUGGCGAAAGCGCUCUACUGGGCCAUAACUGACACUGAGGGACGAAAGCUAGGGGAGCGAAAGGG
rnacentral:rRNA from 1 species